CCUUCUGGGAAAACACAGCUCGCUGCUUUCACUGGACCAUUUCUUUGAAAGGGAGACACCAGCUUUGGAGAUUUUACACCUGGACAUCCACUUAGGACCGACUGUCACUGACAAGAGGACUUGUUCGUGGAAGAUCCUCAGACACCCAGUGAGCCUGGGUUGUUUGGGAACCAUCCUGAGCUGGAGUGGUCGAAGAGCGUGAGGCAAAUCAUGGGAGAGGAGGGAGCUGUACGAUGAAGUGGAGCGCAAGAGAUGCACUGAACCUGAAGAGUGUGAUCUGGGGGGGGGGGCAGCGUGAACCUCCAACAUGUCUCGACCUCCCACUGAAACUCCUCUGUGACAGAGAAAGAAAAGGAUGGCGACAGCAUGUCAAGGGGGUUCAUAUGUCUAUCGACGCCCACCCCUAGACCAGUAGGACUCUGAGUGACAAGGACCUCAACGCAGGGGUUGACAAUAGGUAGGAAAAGGAGAAUAAAUGGUUGAAUUUGGAGAAGCUGUAAUAGUAGUGAUAACAUUCUGGUGCUGGUGCACCAUAAUGGAACAUUAUA